rnacentral:rRNA from 1 species
AGUGAACGCUGGCGGCAGGCCUAACACAUGCAAGUCGAACGGCAGCACAGUAAGAGCUUGCUCUUACGGGUGGCGAGUGGCGGACGGGUGUUGUAUACAUCGGAAUCUACUUUUUCGUGGGGGAUUACGUAGGGAAACUUACGCUAAUACCGCAUACGACCUACGGGUUAAAGCAGGUGAUCUUCGGACCUUGCGCGAUUGAUUGAGUCGAUGUCGGAUUAGCUAGUUGGCGGGGUAAAGGCCCACCAAGGCGACGAUCCGUAGCUGAUCUGCGAGGAUGAUAAGCCACACUGGAACUGAGACACGGUCAAGAAUCCUAGGGGAGGCAGCAGUGGGGGAUAUUGGACGAUGGGAGCAAGGCGGAUCCAGCCAUAACGCGUGGGUGAAGAAGGCAUUCGGGUUGUAAAGCCCUUUUAGUGGGAAAGAAAAGAAGCAGGUUAAAACCGCGAUGUUAUGAAGGUAACCAAAGAAUAAGCACCGGCUAAAUUCGUG